AGAGAGGACACAGAACAGGAACUUCCAAUUUCCAAGCAGAAAUACAAGCACUGAUCCAACGAAAGCAGUAGCAAUGAGAGUUGCUCCAACAAAGCGUCUGCUCUCAGUCUGGAGAAUGCCAUCCGUUGAAUCUUCAAGAAAAACAGCCCCCAGGGUCAAGUUUCAGCUUGGAUUUUAACAGGAAAAGGCGCGAUGGCGUUCAUCUUCUCGAAGCCAUGAACGACAGUGUGAAAGGGCAAC